rnacentral:rRNA from 1 species
GAGAGUUUGAUUCUGGCUCAGAACGAACGCUGGCGGCGUGGAUAAGACAUGCAAGUCGAGCGCUGAUUACAGGGUAGCAAUAUUCUGUGGUCGGAGCGGCGCAAGGGUGCGUAACACGUGGGUAAUCUGCCAUGAAGUUUGGGAUAACUUGCUGAAAGGCGAGCUAAUACCGGAUGUGACAACUGGAAGGCAUCUUUUGGUUGUCAAAGUUGGGGACCGUAAGGCCUGACGCUUCAUGAUGAGCCCGCGGCCUAUCAGCUAGUUGGUGAGGUAACGGCUCACCAAGGCUAAGACGGGUAGCUGGUCUGAGAGGACGACCAGCCACACUGGAACUGAGACACGGUCCAGACACCUACGGGUGGCAGCAGUCGAGAAUUUUUCACAAUGGGCGCAAGCCUGAUGGAGCGACGCCGCGUGGGGGAUGAAUGGCUUCGGCCCGUAAACCCCUGUCAUUUGCGAUCAAACCUCAUUAUUUAAAAGAUGAUGAGCUGAUAGUAGCGAAAGAGGAAGGGACGGCUAACUCUGUGCCAGCAGCCGCGGUAAUACAGAGGUCCCGAGCGUUGUUCGGAUUCACUGGGCGUAAAGGGUGCGUAGGUGGUGAGGUAAGUCGGAUGUGAAAGCUCGGAGCUCAACUCCGAAAUGGCAUUGGAAACUACCUUGCUCGAGGGUUGGAAGGGGGACUGGAAUGCUUGGUGUAGCAGUGAAAUGCGUAGAUAUCAAGCGGAACACCAGUGGCGAAGGCGAGUCCCUGGACAACUCCUGACACUGAGGCACGAAAGCUAGGGGAGCAAACAGGAUUAGAUACCCUGGUAGUCCUAGCCGUAAACGGUGCACGUUUGCUGUAAAAGGAAUCGACCCCUUUUGUGGCGUAGCCAACGCGUUAAACGUGCCGCCUGGGAAGUACGGUC